GGCAAGCGCACUCUGUGUCACAUCGAUAUCCAGCCUCAUGUGAUGACAAUUUGUAAGCUUGCCAGAGAAAGGCGGUGCUUCGCUUAUCCAUGUGGCAACGAUCUUCCCAGCUGCCGCAUUGAAUUCGGGCUCCACACUAA
rnacentral:snoRNA from 1 species